GACGAACGCUGGCGGCGUGCUUAACACAUGCAAGUCGAACGGUGAAGCGCCUUCCUUUUUGGUGGGUGUGGAUGAGUGGCGAACGGGUGAGUAACACGUGAGUAACCUGCCCCCUUCUUCUGGAUAACCGCAUGAAAGUGUGGCUAAUACGGGAUAUUCUGGGUCUGUCGCAUGAUGGGUCUGGGAAAGAUAUUGUUUCGGUGGGGGAUGGGCUCGCGGCCUAUCAGCUUGUUGGUGGGGUGAUGGCCUACCAAGGCGGUGACGGGUAGCCGGCCUGAGAGGGUGGACGGUCACACUGGGACUGAGACACGGCCCAGACUCCUACGGGAGGCAGCAGUGGGGAAUAUUGCACAAUGGGCGCAAGGCUGAUGCAGCGACGCCGCGUGAGGGAUGGAGGCCUUCGGGUUGUGGACCUCUCUCGCCAGUGAAGCAGGCCUGCCUCGUUUGUGGGUGGGUUGACGGUAGCUGGAUAAGAAGCGCCGGCUAACUACGUG
rnacentral:rRNA from 1 species